UACGAAGGGGGCAAGCGUUGUUCGGAAUUACUGGGCGUAAAGGGUGCGUAGGCGGUUUGGUAAGUCUCGUGUGAAAUCUCCGGGCUCAACUCGGAGCCUGCACGAGAAACUGCCGGGCUUGAGUGUGGGAGAGGUGAGUGGAAUUCCUGGUGUAGCGGUGAAAUGCGUAGAUAUCAGGAGGAACACCUGUGGCGAAAGCGGCUCACUGGACCAUAACUGACGCUGAUGCACGAAAGCUAGGGGAGCAAACAGG
rnacentral:rRNA from 1 species